rnacentral:rRNA from 1 species
AUGGUAGUCAAAACUUGGCGAUCCGAAGGGGUACUUGGCGAACAAUGGUCGCCGUGGUACUCGUCGGUCCAUGAAGUCGUUCUCGUAGGUCUUUGCGAUUCGUUCGGUACUCAUUCGGGCAUCUGUGUGGCCUUGCCGGUGGGGUACUUGGCGCUUGCGGUCCAACUCCAAGGUCAUUGCCGUGUAGUCGAACUUGACAAAAACGGGUCUUGCUGGGGACUUGGCGCAUCCAUCAGGAACUUGGUGGUACUUGGCGAGUUCCACGCUCGGCGACCCUUGGACUUGGCGUCAACUGCAAUAGGGCGUGAUGCAGGGACUUGGCGCGAUGCAGGAGCAACGGCCGCGGGACUUGGCAUGAUGCAGGAGGCUGGUUCUGAGCGGGACUUGCAGCAGCGGCGGCAGCGGCGGGAACUUGGGACGAUGGUCUCGCGAGGCAUGGGGAGGCUCGAGGCGACAACGUCGAGGAGGAAGACCGGCGAUGCAGCUGCGGGCACCGGGAGGCGUGGCUCCGACGGGCAGGGCCGAAGACGAGGUGCAGAAGGGCGGGGAGGGACUCAGCGACGGGGACGGCCUGAAACUUCUACUGGUGGCGCUCGUGGCCAUGGGACGCGAAACCCGAGGUCGAAGGCGAGGCGCGGUGGAGGAGCUUGGCGGCGCGGCGGCCGGACGAAGCAGGGAGGCGCACGAGGAGACUCAGGCGCGGCAGGGCAGCGGUGCUGGCGAUGGGGAGGUCUCGCAGCGCGGGUGAGAGUGCCAUGGGAGGUGGCUGGAGGUGCGAACGGAGCAGAGGAAGGGAGGUCGGGCGUUGCAGCUACACGUGCGGGGGAUGCGGUGGUGCUGGCAGGGGAGGCACGCCAUGGGGAUCGAGCGCGGGCGCUCCUCCUGGCAUUGGCUCUGUGUGUGGCGGCGCACAGGGAGAGAUGGAGAUCGAUCGGGAGAGGAGGCCAGCGAGCAAGGGGAUAA